CUGGCGUUUCAUCAUAUAUUCGAGAGUAUGGGUCUCGGCGGAUGCAUCGCGCAGGAAACAAGCCAUAUGCCCUGGAGAGUCUCAACUAAGUGUAUUUAAAUUGUCAGUAAAACACAUAAAAGACCCAUUGACAGCUGGGCUGUUAAUUGACACUCUUCUACAGUUUUUCAGACAGAAAGCGAAAAUUCAUGAUGACUAUUUGGAAGGUUUGCAUGUGGUCAAAGAUAUCCUUCCUGUUUU